AGUGACCACUUUUCUCUCCAGCUGCCUCGCAUGAUGGCAAAUGGCAUAUUUAAAUGGUAAAAGGCUUGAUCUCUAUCUCAAAACAUUUGACAUACUCACACUGAAGAUGGAAAAAACUGUUUUUGAUGGCUUCAGAGGAAAGACUGUGUACUAAGAAGAGGUUUGCAAUUCAACUGAAAAAAAAUCAAAGACACCUGAGAACAUUUUAUGACUUAAAAAGUUUUCUUUUCUUGAAAUAAAAACUACUGCUGGAGAUCUCUCCUCCCAUAUCUUAUCAGC
rnacentral:lncRNA from 1 species